UGGUGGAAAAUACUAGUGGAAGGGCAACACCAGAUUUAAAAAGUGCCAGAAUUGCUGCUCCCUUGAUCAGUUCUCCACUUCUUACUCAGACCCUCAUUUCUCUCUAGUCUUCAGAAUUCAGAUCCGUGCUCUUCAGCGAACUCUCAAUCUACUUCAUCCUUUUCUCUUCUGUUCUGUUGUUCUUCCUUUCUUCCCUUCUCUCUGCCUGCCGCCACGACCCGUCAUUCCGCCUACUUACGUGUCCCCUCACUCCGCCGCUGCCUCCCUUCCGCUCACUUAGGCUCAAGAGGCAAAAAGCACUGCAGAAACAAAAAGGAAAACGAUAAUCCCUAGCAAGUCGGAAGAAGAAACAGGUUGUGCGGAAAAGUGUGAUGAAUCGGAAAUUAGGAGGAGGAAGGCAGCCCACAGGAACUCCAUCGCUGGCUUGGUCCUGUCUUGUCGUUGUUUGCUCUCUUCUUGGUGGUGCCUCUAUUGUCCAUAAUAUCUACAAACCCAAUCUUACAUUACCUCCGGUUGAUGAAAUUGGUGGGACCAAGCAGAAACUAGAUGAGAAAGAAUGAUCAUCUCUCUCUGUCGAUUCUGUUAUAUUGGUAUGAAGAUGACCAAAAUUUUUGGGCCCAAAGUUGCUUUCUGUGCCAGUAAGCCUGAGAUACAAUUGUUCUCUUUAUAUUGUUUCUUUUUUUUUUAUUGUAUUAGUUUGAUGGAGAAGUUUCAUUUAUCUUAAUCUUGUUUCUAAGGAGCGUGGAUUAAUGUGUUAAGGAUGAGCACUGCUCUGCCCUGACCAUAAAGCAAGGAAGUUUACAGGAGCAUUACAAUGUAUUUUAGAUAUUUUAGAGCCUGAUCUAUUUUUAAAAAGAAAUAAGCAUUCUUCUUGUUUUGAUAUUUUAGAGCCUGAUCUAUUUUUAAAAAGAAAUAAGCAUUCUUCUUGUUUUGAUUCUUUUGAAUUCUUCUCUCUGUAUGUAUUGAGAAUUAGGUUUCUGUGGAGUGUUUCUAAUUUUGUAUCUCCAUCUUUGCCACAUAUAUCUAAA